rnacentral:rRNA from 1 species
CCUACGGGAGGCAGCAGUGAGGAAUAUUGGUCAAUGGGCGAGAGCCUGAACCAGCCAAGCAGCGUGAAGGAUGAAUGCCCUACGGGUUGUAAACUUCUUUUAUAAAGGAAUAAAGUGAGGCACGUGUGCCUUUUUGUAUGUAGUUUAUUAAUAAGGAUCGGCUAACUCCGUGCCAGCAGCCGCGGUAAUACGGAGGAUCCGAGCGUUAUCCGGAUUUAUUGGGUUUAAAGGGAGCGUAGGUGGGUUGUUAAGUCAGUUGUGAAAGUUCGCGGCUCAACCGUAAAAGUGCAAUUGAUACUGGGAGACUUGAGUACAGUUGAGGUAGGCGGAAUUCGUGGUGUAGCGGUGAAAUGCAUAGAUAUCGCGAAGAACUCCGAUUGCGAAGGCAGCCUACUGAACUGCCACUGACGUUGAUGCACGAAAGUGUGGGGAUCGAACAGGAUUAGAUACCCGAGUAGUC